GACGAACGCUGGCGGCAUGCCUAACACAUGCAAGUCGAACGGACAGAACAGGGAAGCUUUUCGGAGUGGAACUGGAAAGUUAGUGGCGGAUGGGUGAGUAACGCGUGGACAACCUACCUUGUAAAGGGGAAUAACCUCGAGAAAUCGAAGCUAAUACCCCAUAAUAACCUUGCUUUGCGUGAAGUAAGGAGGAAAGGCGGCCUUAGCGCUGUCGAUACAAGGUGGGUGCGCGACUGAUUAGCUAGUUGGUGGGGUAAAGGCCCACCAAGGCGACGAUCGGUAGACGGCCGGAGAGGGUGAUAGGCCACAUUGGGAGGGAGACACGGCCCAAACUCCUACGGGAGGCAGCAGUGGGGAAUCUUCCGCAAUAGGCGAAAGCCUGACGGAGCGAUGCCGCGUGAGUGAAGAAGGCGUUCGGGUUGUGAAACUCUGUCCUUAUCGAAGAGAGAGUGUUGUAGUAACUGACGAUAGUAGGACGGUAGAUGAGAAGGAAGCCCCGGCUAACUAUGUG
rnacentral:rRNA from 1 species